UCUGGUCUUGGGACACUGUCAGGUGGGCAGUUUGACUGGGGCGGUCGCCUCCCAAAAGGUAACGGAGGCGCUCAAAGGUUCUCUCAGUACGGUCGGAAAUCGUACGUAGAGUGUAAAGGCAAAAGAGAGCUUGAUUGCAAGACAUACAGGUCGAGCAAGGAUGAAAAUCGGACUUAGUGAUCCGGUGGUUCUGCGUGGAAGGGCCAUCGCUCAACGGAUAAAAGCUACCCUGGGGAUAACAGGCUUAUCUCCCCCAAGAGUCCACAUCGACGGGGAGGUUUGGCACCUCGAUGUCGGCUCAUCACAUCCUGGGGCUGUAGUAGGUCCCAAGGGUUGGGCUGUUCGCCCAUUAAAGUGGUACGCGAGCUGGGUUCAGAACGUCGUGAGACAGUUCGGUCCCUAUCCGUCGCAGGCGUAGGAAAUUUGAGAAGACCUGUCCUUAGUACGAGAGGACCGGGAUGGACGUACCUCUGGUGUACCAGUUGUCCUGCCAAGGGCAUGGCUGGGUAGCUAUGUACGGAAUGGAUAAGCGCUGAAAGCAUCUAAGCGCGAAGCCAACUUCAAGAUAAGAUUUCCCACCGAAAGGGUAAGACCCCAGAAAGACUAUCUGGUUGAUAGGUCGAAGGUGUAAGUGCAGCAAUGUAUUUAGCUUAUCGAUACUAAUAGGUCGAGGACUUGACCAAUAUU
rnacentral:rRNA from 1 species